CGGAUAAAGCUUCUUGCUUUCAGAGUGGCUGGCUGGAUCAGUCAGGACCCAGCAAGCCAGCCAUAAGAAACACUUACCUGAGCAGGAGGAAUUGGUGGUUCCACCAGGCUUUAAACUUACCCAAUAAAUUCCCAUCGCUCUCUGUCCAUACAGCUGGAUUCUAGAAGAACGUUAGAAUUUUAUUUUAAAGUAGAGGUUUGAAUAGCUAAAAGAUUAAAAAGCGGUGUGAUGUGACCCUUUGGUUUUGAGGAAUCCCACCCUUAGGUCACUCAUGCUGACAUUAAAGGGCCCAUUUUAAUGUUUUAUAAGCAGCAUUAGAAGAAAUGAAGUUGCAUAGAAAACUCAAGCUGAGGUAACCUUGAUUGUAUCUUGUUAUGUAGACAUUUAGUUAUAUAGAUACCCUGGGAGUAUAACUUGCUCCUGGACCACAGGCUCAAGAGGAAAGGUGGGGAUACCCGUCAUGGGACUUUGCACUCACACAGGCUAAUAGCUGUUAGCAAGCUCCUCUGAGGAAGAAUAUGGUUUCCGGCAGGACUGGGUAGAGAGAGGCAUCAUAUCCUGUCUGGCUCUGGAUGAACGGCUUCUCUCUGUGUGAGCUUUCAUUGUGGUGUGAGCUGGAUGCAGAUGGUGAUGCAUUGUCUAACUGGGUGGUAAGGAAAACUGCGUGCCUGUAUUGGCUGGGGUCACAGGAGUUACCAUUCAGUCCACCAUCUCUGUGGCUUUCCACUGUGUCACCGCACAGUCUAGUAUGGGGGUGGAGGGCACUUGCUAUCCCAAGAUCCUGAUAUUUUCUAUCUUACUGCACGCUCUCUGGAGCCGUAGGGCCUGCUUUGUUCAGGUAUUCUUGAAACGCACAAAGAGCACGCCCACAACCUGGGGCUAUUUCAUGGAGAACCCCAAGGGAGAGAUGGCGCUUUUCAUUAUUUGUACCCCAUCCCCAAGAUUGAGGACCUAGCCAGACUCAACCACAGACACACAAGCUGUGAGGUGUAAUGAUGCCCUUUGCGCUGCAGGAGGAAGGCUCAGAUGGUGCUCGAGUGUAGAUUCUGCCACAGUCAUCAAAGGCACCUGCCCAGGACCUGGCACAAAGGAAUUAAAUCGAUCUGUUUGUUUGCUUUGUUUUUGUUUUUAUUUUUUAAAACAACUUCCAGAAGCCCUCUUAAACAACUACAGCAUUGUUGGCCAUUCUCACAGCAAGUCAGAUCACAAAAACCUCAACUCAUCUUUUCAUGGAAUUUAUUUAUUUUUGUUUUAUCUAAGUGGUUUUCAUGUGUGCAGUACCCAUAGACACCAGGAGAGGGCAUAGGAUCACCUGGAACUGGAGUAAAGUAAAGUUGUCAGCCUGCUUGUGGGUGUUGGGAACUGAAUCCUAGUCCUCUGUAAAACCAGCCUGUGUUCUUAACCACGGAGUCGUCUCUCUAGCCCUAGGGCAGCUAUUUCUGCACAAAACAGUAAAAACAUAAAUCAUGAGAGAAAACUAAGCAAAAUACAAAUUUGGAGCCAAAACAAACAUACCAAUCGUGUGAGAAUCUUUCUUCUAACCCAUGACUGUAUCCAUACCUUGUAUGCAUGGGGAGAAGGUGUUCUAAGUUUGGGCUAUUUUACAGAAAAAAAAAAAUAAUAAUUUGAAUAUGAUAGCCACCGAUCUGACCCUCCAAAAUUUUUAAAAUUAGUUGCAGGGAGUAAGGCUACGUCUUCUCAUAAGAUUUUGCUUUAACAACCGAAACAACAAACUGUAUAAGGAAGG
rnacentral:lncRNA from 1 species